UCCUCCCUCUGGCUUCGUGCUUAACACAUGCAAGUCGAACGGAAAGGCCCUGCUUUUGUGGGGUGCUCGAGUGGCGAACGGGUGAGUAACACGUGAGUAACCUGCCCUUGACUUUGGGAUAACUUCAGGAAACUGGGGCUAAUACCGGAUAGGAGCUCCUGCUGCAUGGUGGGGGUUGGAAAGUUUCGGCGGUUGGGGAUGGACUCGCGGCUUAUCAGCUUGUUGGUGGGGUAGUGGCUUACCAAGGCUUUGACGGGUAGCCGGCCUGAGAGGGUGACCGGCCACAUUGGGACUGAGAUACGGCCCAGACUCCUACGGGAGGCAGCAGUGGGGAAUAUUGCACAAUGGGCGGAAGCCUGAUGCAGCAACGCCGCGUGCGGGAUGAAGGCCUUCGGGUUGUAAACCGCUUUCGCCUGUGACGAAGCGUGAGUGACGGUAAUGGGUAAAGAAGCACCGGCUAACUACGUG
rnacentral:rRNA from 1 species